rnacentral:rRNA from 1 species
GAUGAACGCUGGCGGCGUGCCUAAUACAUGCAAGUCGAGCGAACGGACGAGAAGCUUGCUUCUCUGAUGUUAGCGGCGGACGGGUGAGUAACACGUGGAUAACCUACCUAUAAGACUGGGAUAACUUCGGGAAACCGGAGCUAAUACCGGAUGAUAUUUUGAACCGCAUGGUUCAAAAGUGAAAGACGGUCUUGCUGUCACUUAUAGAUGGAUCCGCGCUGCAUUAGCUAGUUGGUAAGGUAACAGCUUACCAAGGCAACGAUGCAUAGCCGACCUGAGAGGGGGAACGGCCACUCAGGAACUGAGACACGGGACAGACACCGAGGGGAGGCAGAAGUAGGGAAGCUUGCGCAAUGGGCGAAAGCCUGACGGAGCAACGGCGCGUGAGUGAUGAAGGGCUUCGGGUCGGAUAACUCUGUUAUUAGGGAAGAACAUAUGUGUAAGUAACUGUGCACAUCUUGACGGUACCUAAACAGAAAGCCACGGCUAACUACGU